AGGUAGUAUGGCCGAUUAGGCGGUAAUCUGUAAAAUUACACAUAGGACUCAGUCCUUGCUGCCA
rnacentral:tRNA from 1 species